CCUUUAAAAAGAUAUACACACAAUACUAUACUUUUAAGAGUCAUCCCGUUGUAACUUUUAAACAGACGGUUGGACAUUUUUGGGCUUAUUGUAUAAAAUGUAGAGCUCGUCGAGAGGAACAACUUAUACGCUGUAUGUAUGCAGCAAAGUCUUAUCGUUUUCCUAAUAUGUAAGCUUGAAAUUGCAGCGUAAAUGUUUUUUGCACUCGGUGACCUUUGACCUUGGGUGCAUAUUAAAGGUCACAUGAAUUAAAGAUUAUUGGUGAAGGUUCCAAGUCUCUAUGACUUCUGGUUCUCGAAAUAGAAUUUUUCCAAAAUUAUUUAUAAUUUUUAAAGGGAAAUAACUCCUUAUAAGGCUUAGUAACAAAUGAAUUGUUUAUGUUCAUAAACAUAGCCAUCUGUUCUUGUACAUGCUACCAUUUUCAAAUCGAU
rnacentral:lncRNA from 1 species